GCCACAGAAGAAGACAAUGUGUGUGUGUGUGUGUGUGUGUGUGUGUGUGUGUGUGUGUGUGUGUGUGUGUGUGUGUGAGAGAGAGAGAUUUUGUCUUAACAGGCUCAUUUCUUCCUGAUGGCUUUAAAUGAUUUCAUCACAAUUAAUGACACACACCGCGGCUCCCUGUGACUCGCUGGCAGAUGUUCAGGGACCUCGGAGUGUCUUCAUCUCUCUCUCAGAGCUAAAGAGGCACUUUCCUCCCGUGACAAACGAGGCCGUGCGCCUUGUCAGCGUCUGAUCCGUAACCCUCGACGCUCAAAGCGGUAAAUUAUCGACACAUCUGUUCAGACUUUGUUGAAAAAUGUAGCCACCUUUUAUCCUUUUUUCCUCCUCGUGCAUACUGAUGAUCUGCACUUUUUUCACCCUCAAGUUGUUCAGCGGCUUCGACGUCCUUCUGCGAAUGUAGCUUUUCUUUUCUUUCUCUUUUUUCUACAAAGGCAUUGAGAAUGUGAUCUGGUUUAUAGCUGAGUAAUUAUAGUUGUCCUGUCAGAAUUACAGUAAUUACAAGCUUGUAUAAAGGAUUUACAUUUAACUCUUUAUGUGUCGAUCAGACAUCCGGUUAUUUCCUCACAUCCGACGCAUGAUAUAUACAAUAAAUAUCAUUUAACUCUGAAGAAACGAACAUCUCCAAGUGCAGUCUCAUACUUAGGGGAAUUCUGAUAUGAUGUAAAUACGCUGUAAGAUCAUAACUACGCUUCGCUAUGAAUGACAUCAUCAUGUCUACUUACAGUUUUCAGAUAAAUUAAACACCACACAGUCCAGUGAUCCAGUUACAGUGUAAAACUGAAACUACUGAAUAUUAUUCAACCCUGGGAUUUGUUGAGCACUGGUAUCUCCAUAAACUUAACAUUCUUAAAUCAGGAUUUUGGGGGUUUUGUAGAAUGUUAGUGUUUGUUGGAUAAUGUUAGGGUUUGGUGGAUAGUGUUUGGGUUUGGUGUAGAAUGUUAGUGUUUGUUGGACAGUGUUAGUGUUAGUGUUUGGUGUAGAAUGUUAGUGUUUGGUGGACAGUGUUAGUUGUUUGGUGUACAAUGUUAAUGUUGGUUGGACAGUGUUAGUGUUAGUGUUUGGUGGUCAGUGUUAGUGUUUGGUGUAGAAUGUUAGUGUUUGGUGGACAAUGUUAGUGUUAGUGUUUGGUGGACAAUGUUAGUGUUUGGUGGACAGUGUUAGUGUUAGUGUUUGGUGGUCAGUGUUAGUGUUAGUGUUUGGUGGACAAUGUUAGUGUUUGGUGGACAGUGUUAGUGUUAGUAUUUAUUGGACAGUGUUAGUGUUUGGUGUACAAUGUUAGUGUUUGUUGGACAGUGUUAGUGUUUGGUGUACAAUGUUAGUGUUUAUUGGACAUUGUUAGUGUUUGGUGUACAAUGUUAGUGUUUGUUGGACGGUGUUAGUAUUUGUUUUACAGUGUUAGUGUUUAUUGGACAGUGUUAGUGUUAGUGUUUGUUGGACAGUGUUAGUGUUUGUUGGAUGAUGUUAGUGUUAGUGUUUGGUGCACAGUGUUGAUGUGUAACCUCACUGUGCCAAUACAAACAUCUUCAAUAAAGUUGACUGAGAUCAGAGAAUACAGCGCGAGAACUUGGGGACCACUUCAAAAGGGAUGCCAAUAAUUAUGGCACAGACAGUAACUAUUUCAGGUCCUUAUCACGGUAUAAGGUCAAGUCGAUAAUGUUUACUGUCACUGACUUUAUCAACAACGAUUCUCCAGUACAGUAGAGCGAUAUGAAAAAUCAGACAUGUGAAAUCUCUCAUUAAUCACAGCGUGUUAAGUAUUUCUAUACACAACCAUAGUGUCAUUUCUGUUUGUGUGUGUGUGUGUGUGUGUGUGUGUGUCCCGGCUAAUGUUAAGUAAAUAUAUGAGACGUACGCAGCGUAUGAGGUCAAUAGAAACUGGAGACGCUGUCUCAUUAAGCACGUCAGAGCCACAGAGCGGACGUUCCUGACUUCAUUCAUUCGUUUCGCUCCUAAUUGCGAACUUAAUUUUCCGACUCUAUUGAUUUUUUUUCUUUUUUUUUGCCUCCUCUCCGUCUGUUCAUUUUCCUAAUGAAACGCUUCAGAGCAAUUUGGUGCCAACUAAGUAAAUGGAGCUUUAAUUUGAGGGGUGGCUGCAGGAAGCAGAUCUUUCAGCCCCGUGUCCUUCCGCACAUUGUGAAUGCCUAAUACACACACACACACACACACACACACACACACACACACUCUCUGUUGUCAUGUCAAACACUGCUCUGGUUUGGGUGUUUAGAAGAGAAGAAGAUUGUGGUUUGUUGAAGACAUCAGUGUUUGGUGGUGAAUAUUGAUGUUUGGUGUAGAAUUGUAAUUGUAGCUUGGUGUAGAAUGUUGGUGUUUAUUAGAAAAGAUUGUGGUUUGGAAAAUGUUUAUGUUUGCUGGAGAUGUUUGUGGUUUGGUGGAGAAGACUGUUUUAUGAGAACAAUGGUGUUUGGUGGAGAAGAUUGUGGUCUGUUGUAGAAGGUUAGUGGUUGGUGGAGAACAUAAGUGUUUGGUGGAGAAUGUUAGUGUAGAUGAAGAUUGUGGUUUGUUGGAGAAUGCCAGUGUUUGGUGGAGAAAAUUGUGGUUUGUUGGAGGAGAUUGUGGUUUGUUGGAGAUUGUGGUUUGUUGGAGAUUGUGGUUUGUUGGAGGAGAUUGUGGUUUGUUGGAGAUUGUGGUUUGUUGGAGAUUGUGGUUUGUUGGAGGAGAUUGUGGUUUGUUGGAGGAGAUUGUGGUUUGUUGGAGAUUGUGGUUUGUUGGAGGAGAUUGUGGUUUGUUGGAGGAGAUUGUGGUUUGUUGGAGAUUGUGGUUUGUUGGAGAUUGUGGUUUGUUGGAGGAGAUUGUGGUUUGUUGGAGGAGAUUGUGGUUUGUUGGAGAUUGUGGUUUGUUGGAGAUUGUGGUUUGUUGGUGGAGAUUGUGGCGUGUUUAAGAUUGUGGUUUGUUUGAUAAGAUUGUGGUUUGUUGGAGAUUAUUGUGGUUUGUUGGAGAUUGUGGUUUGUUGGAGGAGAUUGUGGUUUGUUGGAGGAGAUUGUGGUUUGUUGGAGAUUGUGGUUUGUUGGAGAUUGCGGUUUGUUGGAGGAGAUUGUGGUUUGUUUGAGAAGAUUGUGGUUUGUUGGAGAUUAUUGUGGUUUGUUGGAGAUUGUGGUUUGUUGGAGAUUAUUGUAGUUUGUUUGAGAAGAUUGUGGUUUGUUGGAGGAGAUUGUGGUUUGUUGGAGGAGAUUGUGGUUUGUUGGAGAAGAUUGUGGUUUGUUGGAGAAGUCGGUGUUUGUUGGAGAAGAUUGUGGUUUGUUGGAGAAGUCGGUGUUUGUUGGAGAAGAUUGCCUUGUUUGUAGAUAUUUGGGGUUUAGAAGAAGGAGCUAUUUCAGAUUUGUGUCCUUCUGCAUUUUGUGAAUGCAGCACACAUACUGUAUACACACACACACACACACACACACACACACACACACACACACAACUCUCAGGGAUUAGUCUGUUAAACCAAGCUUUCUUAUUGAGAUUAGGUCAUUAAUUUCGCCCCUUACAUAUGAAAAUAUUGACAGUUCCCAUGCACCCUGCCGUUUGGGUUUCUGACCGGCCGCGUCGCUCGCUGAGAUAAAUCCUGACCCGUGUGUGGUGCUCGAUACUCCGUAGACUGAUCCAUCCCAGAAACUGAUAAACAAGCAAUAUAUUAGCUUGAUAUGUUAUCACCAGAGGAGGUUUAUCGAUUAGCCUGGUGAGAAACUGUCCAGACGGGAUGAGUGACGGGACAUGUGAGGACACCGGGUUAGGUAGUUGAGACAUGCGGGAUAUUUUUGGGAAGACAUCAGCAUGACGUCCCGUCUCUUACUAACCCUCCAGACUCGAAACAAGUCAUUUCCAAAAAACGGGGUUUGCGUUACGAAGAAAAAGUUUUUCCAAAGAAAAUCAUAGUCACAGUUUUUCUCCUACCCCGAGAAACAGGAGUCUCGUCUCAGUGACGAUGAGUAACGAGAGAGAGAAGGAGGGAGAGAGGGAGGGGUGUGUGUGUGUGUGUGUGUGUGUGUGUGUGUGAGGGGGGGUGCUCUUUUCAAAAAGUCAUCUGUUCUUCGUUUGUCCGGAGCUUGGGAACAGAAUAUCAGGAAGCGCUCCGGUUGUGGCGGAAGAUGAAAAGAGGAGAGGAAUGAAUAAAAAAACACGUGUCGCACAUGUACUGUGGCAGACUGCAUAUGUCCUGUGAAUGUCUGAACAGGCCUGAGAGACACAGCAGCCAACACACACACACACACACACACACACACAAACACACACACACACACACACAAUUCCUAGCACAGAAAAACUAGUGACAAAACUUAGAUAUAUAUUAUCACCACAUUCAGACAAAACUCCAUUUGUGACUAAUAACACUUAGCGGACCGUACCAUUUCACCUCCUUAUAACUCAUCAGUGUUGGGUAAGUUACUCAAAAAAAUACAUCCACUACAGAUUACUAAUUACUUUCAAAACCAUCAAACCUACAGAAUACACUACAAACUCAAACUCAGAGAUCUUUCAGUAAGGUUAGCGUCAGUGUACGACACGAUCAGAAAAAGUCUGAUUUAUAAUAGACCCUUCCUCGGGCGUGUCGCUGUGUGUAGAAUACCAGAGCGCUAAAAUAUGAAACUUUUCGAACUAGGCUAGUUUGGUGUCUCUAGCCGAGAGGAGACACGGCUAAGCUAUCACUGUAUGUGUUUAGCUGCUACAGAGUCAUGUAGAGUUCAUUAUCUUUCCUUCUGCUCUGCUCAGAUCAUCUUCACGUGAACUGGAACUCAUAUAGACGUUCACACGCCUUGUUCUCCUGCUCAGCAUCAGAGGAUGUUUCUGUUUCUGUUUCAACUCCUUUACUGCUUUAAAAAUAAUAAUAAAUCUGCGUUUAUCCAUUUUUCCUCACACUGACUGUGAGCUAGCGUUCGGCAGAAUCGAGAGACCGUCAGCCAAUAAGACGCGAGAAUUUCCACGCAUGUUCCUGUAAACGCUGUCUGAUCGGUCUCGCCUCCGUUCACUGAAGAUAUAACAUUACAUCACCGCCGUCUUCUUUUACUGACGUUCAGUUACGCAGUGACGAACCGCUCCGAGCGGAGAAUUAUUCAGGGAUAAAGAAAACAUCUUCAGGGCAAAACCUGAUUUAUUUUAAAAAUGCAUUUUAUUUCAUAUUGUUUUCUUAACAAUGAAUUUGAAAUGGAAGUAAACGUUGUUUUAUUGGCAUCAGUAAGUGUAAUUAAAUUACAUCCAUUUAAAAUAUAAUGUGUUACUGCGUUAUCAGAAAAAGUCAUUAGAUUACAGUAACACGUUACUUUGUGUUGUGGCUUUGUCACAUUACCACAGUUACUAUAUCGUUGUUGCGUUGUCUCUUUGUCACUAUCAGUUUGUCACUUCCUUGUUGUUGCUGCAGUUUAAUGUUGUUUCCGUGUCACUGCUGCUUUCUCAUUUCGCUGUCAUGUUGUCAUUGUCAUUUUGUCUUUAUCUCUUUGUCGUUGUCAUUUUGUCUCUGUCAUUUUGUCGUUGUCAUUUUGUCUCUGUCAUUUUGGCGCUGUCAUUUUGACGCUGUCAUUUUGACGCUGUCAUUGUGGCGCUGUCUCUUUGUCAUUGUCAUUUUGUUGCUGUCUCUUUGUCGCUGUCAUUUUGUCGCUGUCUCUUUGUCGCUGUCAUUUUGUCUCCUGUCUCUUUGUCACUGUCAUUUUGUCCCUCUCAUUUUGACGCUGUCAUUUUGACGUUGUCAUUUUGUCGCUGUUUCUUUGUCGCUAUCAUUUUGUUGCUGUCUCUUUGUUGCUGUCAUUGUGUCGCUGUCUCUUUGUCGCUGUCAUUUUGUCGUUGUCAUUUUGUCGCUGUCUCUUUGUUGCUGUCAUUUUGUCAUUGUCAUUUUGUCGCUGUCUCUUUGUUGCUGUCAUUUUGUUGCUGUCACUGUAAUGCUGUCAUUGUGUAGCUGUCAUUUUGUCGCUGUCUCUUCGUUGCUGUUCACUGGUUUCUCACUGUUGCUUCUUUGCUGUGUCACUGUCACUUUGUUGAUGUCACUUUGUCACGCUUUGCGGCAGUGUCGUUGUCGUUGGAACACUGUCGCUUUGUUGCUGGUGCGUUGUCGCUUUCUCACUUUCUCGCUGUUGUUUUGUUAUUUUCUCACUAAAACUGUGGCUCCAUGUCGCACGCGUACAAGAACAGUCCCAUUCACUUUGUCACUUCCCAAUCUGAAUGCAAGAUAAAACUCUACUAAGCGACUUCUUUUACCUCUGAUCCACCAUCAAAAGCAAUAUCAGGUAUCAUUUAGUCAAGCAUGUCGAUGGCUCUCUCUCUCUCUCUCUCUCUCUCUCUCUCUCUCUCUCUCUAUGUCUCUCUCUCUUUUUGCUUGGUGAACGACGCUAACGAACACUCAGGUAGCACUUCCAUUAUGCAGAGGAGCCACUUAACACAUCCCACACCUCAUUAACGGUAAUAAGUGGCGUUUGCCACCUCCUUUGUCAGCAGGGUAAGCAAUCAAUAGGGUCAUUUCACAUCAUAACAGCUACUGGUGCACAUUACUAUCUUGUUCAUGGCGGGAACGGCGGUCAUUAAGGCCUGGAGCAGAUUAUAUAGGAGGGAGAAGACAGAUGGAGAGAAUUACGCCGAGCUAAGAGACGGAUCAAUAUGUGGAUAGCUGUGGAGAUAAUUCCACAGCCGGGAGACUUUCGGCUCAGCCAUAUUACAGCUCCUGUGCUGCUCUUUUGUGUUUGUGUAUGCUAAUGCGUGUGUGUGUGUGCGUGUGUGUGUGUGCGUGUGUGUGGCCCGCGUGCCCCCGCUGUGUCGUGUCAGUGCAUUUUCACACACUCACUCGUCGCUGAACAAGCCUGAUGAGGGCUAAUUACAGCACAGCGUCGGCCCGAACAGACGCACAUGCGCCUUUAAUUACAGGAAACAACGGCGUUAAUAUUUUAUGGAAAUGCACCUCGGCACGGAACCCCGGAGUGUGUGACAUUGAGAGUCAGGAAGAGACAUUUACUGUUCACACACACACACACACACACACACACACACACACACACACACACACACACACGGUUAGAAAAGAAAACCCAGUAAACACGACUCUGUCUUCAGACGCGAACCUGAUCAAAUCAAUUUGAGAAUAAAACUAACCCAAAAAAAAGGUUUCCCUAACAAUCCUUCUCCACUAAUCCCAUGUUCCAGAUGUUUCACUGCUGAUCGUGUUUUGCUAGCCUUGCUACACGAAAGGAAACUCCUCAGAUCAGCGGCUCUACUUUACGACACAACUCCAUAACCUGUCUGAUUACACACCUUCAUAUACGUAUCUCUGCUAACCGCUAUCAGUUGGAUUAGCGCCCAGCGCUAGCAGCUACAUUAGCCCUUAAUGGUAAGACGAUCACUGUGUGAUGUCUGAGUAGAUCCAGGGCACUAAUUAGGCGCCCUACAGUAAGGCUAAGAGGGACAAGGCGCGUACUUAAAGCUCUUUGAUAUCCGCUCGGCUAUUAAAUAUAGAUGUGCAGAAAAUCAUUA
ensembl:lncRNA